rnacentral:rRNA from 1 species
ACAGGGAUUGCCUUAGUAGCGGCGAGUGAAGCGGCAAAAAGCUCAAAAUUUGAAAUCUGGCACUUUCAGUGUCCGAGUUGUAAUUUUGAAGAAGGUAUCUUUGGGUCUGGCUCUUGUCUAUGUUUCUUGGAACAGAACGUCACAGAGGGUGAGAAUCCCGUGCGAUGAGAUGUCCCAGACCUAUGUAAAGUUCCUUCGAAGAGUCGAGUUGUUUGGGAAUGCAGCUCUAAGUGGGUGGUAAAUUCCAUCUAAAGCUAAAUAUUGGCGAGAGACCGAUAGCGAACAAGUACAGUGAUGGAAAGAUGAAAAGAACUUUGAAAAGAGAGUGAAAAAGUACGUGAAAUUGUUGAAAGGGAAGGGCUUGAGAUCAGACUUGGUAUUUUGUAUGUUACUCUCUCGGGGGUGGCCUCUACAGUUUACCGGGCCAGCAUCAGUUUGAGCGGUAGGAUAAGUGCAAAGAAAUGUGGCACUGCUUCGGUAGUGUGUUAUAGUCUUUGUCGAUACUGCCAGCUUAGACUGAGGACUGCGGCUUCGGCCUAGGAUGUUGGCAUAAUGAUCUUAAGUCGCCCGU